rnacentral:rRNA from 1 species
CACGUAGGCACCAAGCGUUGUCCGGAUUUAUUGGGCGUAAAGAGCUCGUAGGCGGUUCGAUAAGUCGGGUGUGAAAACUUUGGGCUCAACCCAAAGCGUGCAUUCGAUACUGUUGUGACUAGAGUUCGGUAGGGGAGUGGGGAAUUCCUAGUGUAGCGGUGAAAUGCGUAGAUAUCUGGAGGAAUACCGGUGGCGAAGGCGGCAUCCUGGACCGACAUUGACGCUGAGGAGCGAAAGCUAGGGGAGCAAACGGG